rnacentral:lncRNA from 1 species
UUUGGCCCGAUCUCUCGCGCGACCACCCGAACGGCCUCCAAUCCACGAUUCGAAAAUUAAAGGUCUUCGGUUAUGUGCCACGGUGCUUCAAAUCCAUUUUCAUGAUUUUAUGAUGUCGCCUCGGCCCUCCAGGCGGAAACGAAGCCUAAACGUCCGUUUCUUUAAUAUCUUUACAACGGCUCGACGAAUCGCCGAACCGACUUCGCCAACGCGUUUGUUUACCUAGCAAUUAGGUUUACGGAGGGUCAAAUGAGAUCAAACCCUACUAUUUACAAAAACCCCAAAAUUGGAGCCCUAGAUGCAAGUAUAGCAAAAUCCAUCAUUUAACUUCAUGAAUCAUGCAUUAACCAUCUAUUUAGCAUCCUAGGAUUCCUCUAAAUCCAUUUUUAGAGCAUAUAAUUAAAUCUCUAAAGAUCUACCAUUAAAAAUCUAGCCUCUACAUAUGCUCCAAUUAACCCAAAUUAAAUGGAUUCAACAUGCUAAUCAACACAUUAGAGGCUAUUAGAAUACUAAGCAUUAAGAAUUAAACCAAAUCCUAGCUUAAAUUAUGAGAUCUCACCUUAGACCACCAUGCUCAUCAAGCUAAAUCCACCAUUGGAAAGCUUGCUUCCACCAUUAGAGAGCUUCAACUUCAUCUCCACCGUCAUCCUCUCUAAAAUUCCAAUUUUGAGAGAAAAAUUUAGAGAGAUAAGAGAGAUUUCUAGGGAGAGAAAGGAGAGUUUCUCUCUCCCC